rnacentral:rRNA from 1 species
AGAGUUUGAUCAUGGCUCAGAACGAACGCUGGCGGCAUGCCUAACACAUGCAAGUCGAACGGGAUCCGGACUUCGGUUCGGUGAGAGUGGCGGACGGGUGAGUAACGCGUGGGAACCUGCCCAGUGGUGGGGGAUAACUGCGGGAAACUGCAGCUAAUACCGCAUGAGCCCGAGAGGGGAAAGAUUUAUCGCCAUUGGAGGGGCCCGCGUUCGAUUAGGUAGUUGGUGAGGUAACGGCUCACCAAGCCGACGAUCGAUAGCUGGUCUGAGAGGAUGAUCAGCCACACUGGGACUGAGAUACGGCCCAGACUCCUACGGGAGGCAGCAGUGGGGAAUAUUGGACAAUGGGGGCAACCCUGAUCCAGCCAUGCCGCGUGAGUGAAGAAGGCCUUCGGGUUGUAAAGCUCUUUCGGCGGGGACGAAAAGGUCCGUGACAACACCACGGACUAAUGACGGUACUCGCAGAAGAAGCACCGGCUAACUACGUGCCAGCAGCCGCGGUAAUACGUAGGGUGCAGGCGUUAAUCGGAAUUACUGGGCGUAAAGCGUGCGCAGGCGGCUCCUUAAGUCAGAUGUGAAAUCCCCGGGCUUAACCUGGGAACUGCGUUUGAAACUGGGGAGCUAGAGUGUGGAAGAGGGGGGUGGAAUUCCAGGUGUAGCAGUGAAAUGCGUAGAUAUCUGGAGGAACACCGAUGGCGAAGGCAGCCCCCUGGGCUAACACUGACGCUCAUGCACGAAAGCGUGGGGAGCAAACAGGAUUAGAUACCCUGGUAGUCCACGCCCUAAGCGAUGUCAACUGGUUGUCGGGGAAGUUAUUCCUUGGUAACGAAGCUAACGCGUGAAGUUGACCGCCUGGGGGAGUACGGCCGCAAGGUUAAAACUCAAAGGAAUUGACGGGGGACCCGCACAAGCGGUGGGAUUAUGUGGAUUAAUUCCGAUGCAACGCCGAAAAACCUUACCUACCCUUGACAUGUGCGGAAGGGGGUAGAGAUACCUCGGUGCCCGAAAGGGAACCGCAACACAGGUGCUGCAUGGCUGUCGUCAGCUCGUGUCGUGAGAUGUUGGGUUAAGUCCCGCAACGAGCGCAACCCUUGUCAUUAGUUGCCACAUUUAGUUGGGCACUCUAGUGAGACUGCCGGUGACAAACCGGAGGAAGGUGGGGAUGACGUCAAGUCCUCAUGGCCCUUAUGGGUAGGGCUUCACACGUAAUACAAUGGCCGGUACAGAGGGCUGCCAACCCGCGAGGGGGAGCAAAUCCCAGAAAGCCGGUCGUAGUCCGGAUUGUUCUCUGCAACUCGAGAGCAUGAAGUCGGAAUCGCUAGUAAUCGCGGAUCAGCAUGUCGCGGUGAAUACGUUCCCGGGUCUUGUACACACCGCCCGUCACACCAUGGGAGUGGGUUUCACCAGAAGUAGUUAGCCUAACCGCAAGGAGGGCGACUACCACGGUGAGAUUCAUGACUGGGGUGAAGUCGUAACAAGGUAACCGU